rnacentral:rRNA from 1 species
AUAAACGCUAGCGGCAGGCUUAAUACAUGCAAGUCGUGGGGCAAGCAGCUCUGUAGCAAUAACAGAGGCUGGCGACCGGCAAAACGGGUGCGGAACACGUACGCAAACCUUCCUUUAAACUGGAGAAUAGCCCCUCGAAAAGAGGGAUUAAUACUCCGUAACAUGAUGAUGAGGCAUCUCUUUAUUAUUAUAGCUCCGGCGGUUAAAGAUGGGCGUGCGCCUGAUUAGGCAGUUGGGGCGGGGUAACGGCCCACCAAAACCUACGAUCAGUAACUGGUGUGAGAAGCACGACCAGUCACAACGGGCACUGAGACACGGGCCCGACUCCUACGGGAGGCAGCAGUAAGGAAUAUUGGUCAAUGGACGCAAGUCUGAACCAGCCAUGCCGCGUGGAGGAUUAAGGCCCUCUGGGUUGUAAACCUCCUUUAUUCUGGGAAGAAAUUCCUUCAUUCUUGAAGGAUUGACGGUACCAGAGGAAUAAGCACCGGCUAACUCCGUGCCAGCAGCCGCGGUAAUACGGAGGGUGCAAGCGUUUAUCCGGAUUCACUGGGUUUAAAGGGUGCCGUAGGCGGGGCAGGUAAGUCCGUGGUGAAAUCUCUAGGCUUAACUUAGAAACUGCCAUGGAUACUAUUUGUCUUGAAUAUUGUGGAGGUAAGCGGAAUAUGUCAUGUAGCGGUGAAAUGCUUAGAUAUGGACAUAGAACACCAAUUGCGAAGGCAGCUUUACUACACAGUAAUUGACGCUGAGGCACGAAAAGCGUGGGGAUCAAACAGGAUUAGAUACCCUGGUAGUCCACGCCCUAAACGAUGAUUACUCGACAUCAGCGAUACACUGUUGGUUGUCUGAGCGAAAGCAUUAAGUAAUCCACCUGGGAAGUACGGAUCGCAAGAUUGAAACUCAAAGGAAUUGACGGGGGUCCGCAACAAGCGGUGGAGCACGUGGUUUAAUUCGAUGAUACGCGAGGAACCUUACCUGGGCUAGAAUGUUCCGAGACAGCCUGUGAAAGCAGGUCUCCCCAGCAAUGGGCCUCGGAAUAAGGUGCUGCAUGGCUGUCGUCAGGCUCGUGCCGUGAAGGUGUUGGGUUAAGUCCCGCAACGAGCGCAACCCCUAUCACUAGUUGCCAUCAGGUAAUGCUGGGAACUCUAGUGAAACUUGCCGCCGCAAGGCGUGAGGAAGGAGGGGAUGAUGUCAAGGUCAUCAUGGCCUUUAUGCCCAGGGCUACACACGUGCUACAAUGGCGAGUACAAAGGGUUUGCUACCAGGUAACUGGAUGCUAAUCUCAAAAAACUCGUCUCAGUUCGAAUUGAGGUCUGCAAACUCGACCUCAUGAAGCUGGAAUCGCUAGUAAUCGUAUAUCAGCAAUGAUACGGUGAAUACGUUCCCGGACCUUGUACACACCGCCCGUCAAGCCCAUGGAAAGCUGGGUGUACCUAAAGUCGAUAACCGUAAGGAGUCGCCUAGGGUAAAACUAGUAACUGGGGCU